UUGGUUUUCUUCGGACACUCUUCAAGGUGCUGCAUGGUUGUCGUCAGCUCGUGCCGUGAGGUGUCGGGUUAAGUCCCAUAACGAGCGCAACCCUUACCGUUAGUUACCAUCAGGUUAAGCUGGGGACUCUAGCGGGACUGCCACCGUAAGGUGAGAGGAAGUGGGGAUGACGUCAAAUCAGCACGGCCCUUAUGUUCAGGGCUACACACGUGUUACAAUGGCCAGUACAAAGGGCAGCUACCGGGUGACCGGAUGCUAAUCUCUAAAGCUGGUCUCAGUUCGGAUCGAAGUCUGCAACCCGACUUCGUGAAGCUGGAUUCGCUAGUAAUCGCGCAUCAGCCAUGGCGCGGUGAAUACGUUCCCGGGCCUU
rnacentral:rRNA from 1 species